rnacentral:misc_RNA from 1 species
AAGUCGUAACAAGGUUUCCGUAGGUGAACCUGCGGAAGGAUCAUUAACACGUUACAAACGUAUCAACCAACCUCGACGAACUUGUUUACCUGUGGCUCGUUCUCUUGUUUAGCUUUUGGUUGGCUUCGGCUAGCUGACUAGCUAUGAACGCUGGCGCGUUGGGCCGCUUCCCUUUGUGGUCGUGGAACUCUGUGUCUGGCUUAGAGAGAAGCUUGUCACCCCUCCUCCCAUCUUCGGGUGGUUGGAGUUUUUUUUACCCGUUUGUUAAGUGUUUGUAGGCCGAAAGGCAGACAAAUCUUAUCAAACUUGUAGUUCUACAUUCUUCUGCUAGUAAGAGAGCCUUCGGGUUACUCUUAUUAACAAACCAUGUACAACUCUGAGCAACGGAUGUCUUGGUUCCC